CGACUCUGGUUUCUCUUCAUUACGCACAAGCCUUUCGCCUUUUACUAAAGACUUCCGUGGAGAGGAACACUUACGAGUUUCA
rnacentral:snRNA from 8 species